rnacentral:rRNA from 1 species
GAAAGGCUGGCUAAUACUGGAUAGAGCGACGGGAUCCGUAAUCGGAUCUUUCGGGAAAGGGAGCUCGCAAGAGCCUUCGCAAUCAGAUGAGCCUGCGCCUGAUUAGCUAGUUGGUGGGGUAAAAGCCCACCAAGGCUUUGAUCGGUAGCUGGUCUGAGAGGAUGAUCAGCCACACUGGAACUGAAACACGGUCCAGACUCCUACGGGAGGCAGCAGUGGGGAAUCUUGCGCAAUGGGCGAAAGCCUGACGCAGCCACGCCGCGUGAGUGAAGAAGGCCUUCGGGUUGUAAAGCUCUGUCGGAGGGGACGAAAACUCACGAGGUUAACAGCCUCGUGAAUUGACGGUACCCUCAAAGGAAGCACCGGCUAACUUCGUGCCAGCAGCCGCGGUAAUACGAGGGGUGCAAGCGUUGCUCGGAAUUAUUGGGCGUAAAGGGUAGGUAGGUGGUCUGAUUUGUCUGGGGUGAAAGCCUUGAGCUUAACUCAAGAAGUGCCUCAGAAACGGUCAGACUGGAAUCUUGGAGAGGGUCGUGGAAUUCCCGGUGUAGCGGUGAAAUGCGUAGAGAUCGGGAGGAACACCAGAGGCGAAGGCGGCGACCUGGACAAGUAUUGACACUCAACUACGAAAGCGUG